AACCUGCUGUAUAACCGCAGUUAUGUCUCUUCUCCGUGUUUAUUCUUCUCUUUUAUUCAUAACACUUAGUUUUUGGGAGGUGAAGGCAGAUGAAAGACCUUACGCAGUGUUUCAAAAUCAAAACUUAGUUUUGUUCUUUAGUGUGUUAGCGGUUCUCCUGCUGGCUGUGCUCAUCAUGGCGGUGUGUGUGUAUAAACCGCUGAGAUCACGAUGAUGAAGACUUUUGUUUGGGUUUAUUUUAUGUUUUUUUACAUUUUAUUUUAGUAGUUUUAGUUCUAGUUUACUGUAGUGGCCCUAAUGGUGACUGAAUCAGAAGAUCUGGGAUGUGGGACGGGUGUAGAGCUUCAGAUGGACGACACAUCUGAUCUACAGAAUUUCCUCCAGAUGCACCUCGACUGAAUAAAUGAUUCUGAUUAUUAAGGUUACAGAAGUGUAGUCUGCACUUCCACAUGUGCACAACCAACGUGAGCUGAACAGUAAAUGAAUGUCUUGUCAGAAAUUUAGUAAUAUAUACUAAAUGUUUAUUUAUGUACUUAUUAUUAGUAAUAAUUAUGUUAAAACUACCUGUACACCUGUAUUCAAAACCAAACAAUGAACAUGUAGUACUGAAUGAAUUUAAUUAGUUUUAAAGCUGCUGUAUUAAUUUCUACACCUGCACUUUGAUUGUAUUUAUUUAUUUAUUUAUUUAUUUGUUGAUUGUGAAAUUCCAU